CAAACACGAUUUCCCCUCCUUCUGCUUGUGUACUACUCUUCUAUGGCGGACAUUAAAGCUCUCUACUCUAAUUAAUCAAUUGUUCAUCUUCUCGCUAAACGAAAUUUCUGAAUUGAUGUCAACCAUUCCCCAACAUGAAGAUGAGGAGUUGCAGCAGCAACAACAUAUAAGGUAUCUGGAAGCAGGUGCAUAAGCCAUCUUUAUACACCCGGCGUAGAGAAGCUGGUUACCCAGACAGUCCAUAGCGUUUCUGCUGAACUUACUUGUCCAAUUGAAAAUGUAGAAUAACAAGCUUUGAAAUGCAACAUGGUUCUGUGCAUUUGAUUGGACAAAGUUGGACUUGUGUGUCUUCAACUUGCACGGCUGCAACAAGAAGUUGCGUAUGACUACUCAUGGAAAAGGAUGUCGGAAGCAGCCGUGGUGCUAAUUUAAGUCGCAACACUUUCUUAAAAUGGAAACUAAAAUAUUUUCUCAUUUUGAAACAAUGAGCAAAUGUUUAAAAUCCGAACUUUAAUAUUUGCUCAUUUAGAAACAAUGAGCAAAAGUUUGAAAUCUGAACUUUAAUAUUUGCUCAUUUAGACACAAUGAGCAAAUAUUUAGAAUCGAAACUAUAAUAUUUGCUCAUUUAGACACAAUGAGCAAAUAUUUAGAAUCGAAACUAUAAUAUUUGCUAAUUUUCUUGCUUUCUGUUUUGGGGUUUUUUUUCCUGAUAAUUUCUUGCAUAGUUGUUCAUUUUUGUGUUUUUUGGGAAAUCAAAGUGAUUGUUGAGGUUAAACUGAUUAAUUUUCUUUUUUCUUGUAAUUUCAUGAAUAGUAGUUAACUUUUGCUUGGAUUUUGGGAACUCUCAUUUUUCCUGGGAAAAUAGAGAAACAGCUGGCAAAGCUAGCAAUAGUGACACUGGCAGCAAGAGUGUUGACUCUAGGAUCAGUUGGUGAUGCUUCAGUUGCCAAAUCUGGUGGCCGUAUUGGUGGUCACUCUUCUGCUCCUCGUCCCUCGUCUCCUAGAAUUAAUUCUAGGUACAACACCUUCAGCAGUUAUCACCUGAGAUUGUGAAGAAAAUGCCAAAGAAGGAUCUGGCUGAGGAGGUUUGGAGACUGCAGGCAGCUAUCGGCGAGCAGACUGAAAUAACCAAAUAUAGCAAACAAGAGUACGAAAGAUUACGACAUGACAAAGUUCUAUGUCAAAUAUUCUUUGAGAGAGAUAUUAGCAUUGUGCUGUUUCCUUGUAGGCAUCAGAUCCUGUGCAGGUUCCUGUUCUUUUCUUACACUCAAGCUAGUUCUAUAUUGCUGCUCAUGUUUCUUUGCCUUUCUAUACUCUUAUUCAUUCCGGUUCUUGACUGGUGCAGUGUCUGCAGCCCAAAGUGCAAUAGAUGUCUAGUUUGUCAGGUCUCUAUUGACGACAGAUUAGCCGUAUAUGAUGUAUAGUUGCAGAAUAUUAUCACCUAUAAUUAAAAUCUUUGACAUGUUUUAGGCA